rnacentral:rRNA from 1 species
GAUGAACGCUGGCGGCGUGCCUAAUACAUGCAAGUCGAGCGAACGGACGAGAAGCUUGCUUCUCUGAUGUUAGCGGCGGACGGGUGAGUAACACGUGGAUAACCUACCUAUAAGACUGGGAUAACUUCGGGAAACCGGAUCUAAUACCGGAUGAUAUUUUGAACCGCAUUGUUCAAAAGUGAAUGACGGUCUUGCUGUCACUUAUAGCUGGUUCCGCGCUGCAUUAGCUAGUUGGUAAGGUAACGGCUUACCAAGGCAACGAUGCAUAGCCGACCUGAGAGGGUGAUCGGCCACACUGGAACUGAGACACGGUCCAGACUCCUACGGGAGGCAGCAGUAGGGAAUCUUCCGCAAAGGGCGAAAGCCUGACGGAGCAACGCCGCGUGAGUGAUGAAGGUCUUCGGAUCGUAAAACUCUGUUAUUAGGGAAGAACAUAUGUGUAAGUAACUGUGCACAUCUUGACGGUACCUAAUCAGAAAGCCACGGCUAACUACGUG